AGUUCGGAGAACCUGUGUCUGGACUGGGGGGGGACCAGGGUCCACCGGGCCUGCAGCACAGGGGCCCCACACCAUCCCCAAGUGCAACCCCCCUCAGGGACACCCAUUUAGCUCGCCAAUCACCCCCUGCGUGCCACAGUUUCCUUCGUGUUGCAGCGAUCAGGAAGAGAGAUGUAGAUACACAGCUGAGUCCUGACCAGAGGAGCUGAGUCCUGACCAGAGGAGCUGAGUCCUGACCAGAGGAGCUGAGUCCUGACCAGAGGAGCUGACUCUCCUGUGCUGUGUCACAUGUUCGUGUAAUGGUUUUUAGAUUCUCCCACAUACAAAUCAGAACAUUCCUCACUGCACUGCACACACCAUGUUACUCUUCUUAUACUUUGGGGUUGGGUCUUUUGGAUGAGCCAGUUGUUGCCUCACUGGGUUUAGAGCAGACCUUGACGCAGUAUUUAUUAAAGAUCCUUCUACGUUUUUCGGACACCCCAGAAAUAUAUGAGACUCUGGUUCAAAAGAGGGGUCAACCUAUUGUCUGCCACAUACAAUGCUGUUAUAACACGUCUCCCUGGAUGGUUUAAUAACAUUUCAUAGCUGCAAUCAUGCUAAUACCGUACAAUCAACACCUUGUCUCCAUCAGCUCUCUGAACCCAAUGCUGGUUUUACUAAACAGAUGAUGCUGAGUAACAUUCCACAAAUAUAACCACAAAUAUUUUUGUACAGGUCAUUCUGAAUGGAGACAGUCAGUCUGGUGUCUAGUGAAACGUCUUCAAGGAAAACACAACAAGUCCAGUUGAUUUGACUUAUUACUAUAGAUAUACCAUGAUCUAUGGAUGAAUGUGAACCUAAACAGACAUACUGCCCUAGAUAUUUUUUACAUUAAGGCUGAAUGGGUGCUAUAUCAAUAUUUUCCAAAAUCUGUAAACUUUAUAUGAACUGAAGAACAAUGACCAAAGGUUGGACCUCCAAGGGGAGCCUGAACUGAAAAGUCCCUCAACCAUUUAGUAUAUGAGAAAGAGAUGCUGAGGGUCAUUUACUAUGUACAAGGCACAAACUGGGUGCAAUCUGCAAUGAUUUUUGAACUUUAUACAGUGCCCUUCACACAGACCAAUUGCUGCAGGUGCUCCAAAGGGUGUAGAGACCCACAUUAACACCAUGAAUACAGUGUUGCCUGCAUAGGCAUCCCCUCUUAUGCCCCCUACCCAUUCCCUAACCUGUGCCCCUUAGUGCUCUUUGACUUGUGCCCAGGGUCAGAGUAAAUGCCCCUUGCUAUCUUAUUGCACAUUACAAUACUCUGAAUUAUGUCAUCAAACAUCAUAGCAUAACUGGAUCAUCUAGAAACUACAAACGGGAACUAUAAGUGCAAAAGUUUAAACCUGUUGGACACAAGACUUUUUGUUAUCAUCCGUUUCUAAAAAUGUUGUUUCUGGAAAUAUAAUUGGAGUUUUUAGACUAUUUUAAUUCUUCCCCAGGUUAAGCAAAAUGAGGGGUUUCUGCCCUGUGACUUCUCACUGCCUACCGUGUACUGUUUCUUGGUUCCAUCUUUUAAGGCAACACCAUUUCUGUACCACUGGUACAAGGGAAGGGGUUUUCCAACGGCAGCGCAUUCCAAAACCAGUUUUUCUCCUGCCAUGAGCCUUUGGGGUUGUGGGUGGGUACAGAUCUGUAAUUUAUGGUCGGGUAAUCCAGGUAGUCCUGCUGAGAGCAAUACUCUGUUGAUGUGCAGUAGCUCAAAUGAAAACCAGUAAAACAUGGACAAUCACACUCUCCAGUUGAUAUUAAACUACAUGGCUGGCAAAAGCUCAUGGGAAGGGCUCACCCUAUCCCCAUUAAACUAACUAUAAGGUUUCAUAAAUACAGGGAUGUCUCUAUUAAUGGUGGGACCCAGAAUAAAACAGACAGCUAAAGGGCUUCAAGGGUGGACAUAUCUGAUAUAAAGUGUAUUUGUUGCUGUUGCCACAUUGGCCAACUGUCUCCACCUUGCUGUACUAUAUCAAAAAUACCCCACUCCUCCUACAUACAAGUUAUUUCAUGUUGGGGCUCUGGGCAGAUACAGCUCUGGUUAAUGAUGAGAAAUAUGCUGAUAUCUUAUCAAUGUACAGCAAAGUACAACUCCUGUUCUUAAGAAGCGAAAGAGAACGCAAGUGAAACCCUAGUGCAAGGUGGAAGAGAGAAAGAUCACAGUGACGGGGCAUUGUGGUUCCAUUGAGUCACCGUAUUUCAAAGAGGCAGAAAGGAAGAGCGUGGCUGAGCCAGGACACACCAAAAGGAAGCAGAAUUCAAGCUGAAACUCAGAAACUGCUAACUUGCCAAAUAUUGUUUUAAUUUUUUUUCCUGUUUUUCAGUGGGUACAAUAAUGAUUAAAUAUGAUUAUUGUCUCACAAAAAGGCUAUAAAAACAUAUCCAUGGGGGGGUGUAAUGUAUCAUAAAAGUGCCAAUCGAAGCAGGAGGACACGUUGGCUUGGAUAGAGCCGCCCUAUCCUUAGGCCAAACCAAAAGGCAAAGAGGUGUAGAAUUCCUAAUAUCUCUGGGCAAGAUUGGACAAAUGAGGCACUUACCAUGACUUUUCAGAGGACUCUCCAUCACAUCCAGAUAAGCCCACACGCUGAAAUCGUAGGAAUAACCAUUGUUUACCCGACAGAUGUAAGAUCCUGCGUCGUGGGCAUGGGCAGGAUUAAACACCAGCUCUGAUGAGUUUCCCUGUGGGAUCUGAAUGCAAACAUUUUUUUAAAAAAGAUCUUUUAGUUUCUGGGUAUAUCUCAUACUCAGCCCCCACUGAGGGUAGCAGCUUUCAGAGUAAUAGUACAGAAGUCAGGAGCAUCAGAGCUGGGGCAGCCACGGCUAGUGAUGGGUGAUUUUGUCCCGUUUCGCUGUUGCCGAAAAAUUCCCGAAUUUCCUGCGAAAUUCACUAAACAGCAAAAAAUCAGCGAAACGCGAAUUUCACGUCAAUACCGAUGCUCGAGUCAAUUUUUACGCCGGUGUUAAAGUCAAUGGGCAUCCUAAUAACACUGACACGUGACGGUUUUGACGCGAGCAACUUUGUCCAAAAUUUUUUGCCACCGGCUAAUUUUCACGGCUGUUUCGCAAAUGAAUUUGCCGACAGCAAAACGUGGAACGUUGGCGCAAAUUUGUGCCUGGAGAACUUAUUCGCCCACCACUAGCCACGGCUAUCAGAGCAUAUUACUUUCAGAAUCCCUAAACUUACUGGGAUGUCUUCUCAUCCCCUUUAAACCACCCCUGUCCCAUUACACCGGGCCAUGUAAUGGCUAAAGGGUUAUUACUCUAUUACUAUAGUUAUUUUUCACUCCAUCCAAACACUUAAGAACGAGUUGCUUGAAUGCUCGAACCAGAAGAUAAUGAACCACAUCUUUUGCCAAAAAGAAUGACACGCCUUUUCUAAAUAUUUGCUCCCGAGGUAAUAUCAUGAUGUUACAUGCUUUUUUCAAUAAAAAUAAUAUGCUUUACUGUA